rnacentral:lncRNA from 1 species
AUGAGCCAUUUAAGGGAAGAUAACUCUUACAGUAAAAAAAUUAUACUGGACUAAUAGGAAAUUUCUUUAUUUUUACUUGUAGCAAGAAAACAAGUUCGGUGACCCCCUUUUUUCUUUUUAUUUUCUUAAAGCAUGUAAUAAAACCUCUCUUUUCACAAUUUUUUUCAAAAUUCUAUCUCAUAGAAUUCAUUUUAUACACACAAAUGUGUUUUUUCAUGUACAAUCUAACCAAAUUUAGGCAAUUUUCAACGACUCAUAGCUUGAAAAAUAGCACGGUGACCCAUACUUUUUAUUAAAUUUAAAAAAAAAGCAUAUUAAAAUCUUCAUUUUGGCAGAUUAUAAGAAAAUUCUGUCUCAAAAAGUAUAUACUUAUGAUCUACCUUAAUGUUUGUUCCUUUUUUCCUCAUUUUAAUAUGGCAUUUAAUAACAUGUAACAUGGUCUCCGAGAGGGCAUUGUGGACAAAUAUUUGAGGUGAAUGUUUCUGAACUAAAGUUCUAUGAUAGAUAUAUAUUUUUUAUGUUUACAUUUUGUACAUAUUCUGCAAUAGAUUUUUCUGAGUCAAAAAUCUAGGUUGGUCAUAUUAUAUCAUCAAAACUAUUCAAAAUGUUACUUAAAGUAUCUUAAUUUGCUAUAAAUGACAAAAAAAUCAUAUAAUGGACUUAUAAUAAUAUUUAGUCCAUUGUGUAU